ACGAUCACUCUCGUUACUGGUUGGUUUUUCCUUCCAUUUUUAUUUAUUUCUGUCCGUAGUCUAAGGUGACCGUUGGUUUAUUAAAUUGAGGCGCCUAACGGUACAGUUUUAAGCUUCGCGCUUGUGCGCUCGAGUUCGAAUUUCCCACCCUUCCCUCCUCGUGACGUUUUUCAUACCUUUUGAAUUUGGCGCGCUGAGCGGCCAUGCCUGAUUCUCAUAUUGGAGAUUUGGCGCGAGAAGCGGCCAUGACAGUUUGCCAUACUGGCUCUUUUGGCGCGCGGCGUCACGGGAACGUUCUGGGAAGCAGUGAGAGCGGUGACAGUCAGUUUCCGGUCUGCGAUUCCGUGGAGAGAACAUGUAGUGGAGAGCAAGUGAUUUUAUCUGAGAUCAUCCGUGAUAUUAUUUUAUCUGGGACUUAUCCGUCUUCAGUUUUGGAAUCAGCAAUACUUUAUUUUGGAUUGGAGAGAUGUUCGGUGUUGAUCUGUUUGCUCCGAGUUCCUUUUUAUUAGUGAUUUGUUCACUUUAUUUUAUUGCUUGGAGCUCUGGUUUUGGACCCGAUGUCACUGUGGCGUUCCUCAUGGAUCCCAGUGCUUGAUUAUAACACCUGAUCGGGUCCUUGGUUAUGAUAUAACCUGUAUUUGUUUAUGGUGAUGUUCGAGGUUAUGCUCUCUACCUUGACAAGUGUUCAUGUUUUACUUCUGAUUUUAACCUUAUGGCUCUGCCUGCUAUGAUUCGUCUCGUCUCAUGUGACGUUGUUUCUCUCAAGAGCCUUGAAGAUUUUCUCGUUGUUUUGCGAGUUUAGAACCCUUUUGUUUGGUUCUGUGUUGUUGAGUCAACAUGUUUAGUAUUUGUUAAUAUUUAAUCAUUCUGAAUGCUCUAGUUUUACUAGAACAACUAUGCUUACUUCUGGUUCACAUUUGAGCCGCGUUUUGAGUUGAGACUUUGAGAGAUUGAGGAAGGAACUUGUUUGUUCUUGAGUUUGUUGUUGGCUGUGUUUAGAGCCUUGUUUAUAGAGAUUAUAUGGAGCGAGUUUUGCUCUAGUUAGAGGCUGGUCCUCUGGUUUUUAAAUUAAGUAUUUGUAUGGCUUUUAGCCUCUGGUUUUGAAGUUGUGAACUUGUGGUUCAUAUUUUAGUUUUAGUGUUUAAACUUUGUGUUUUGAGGUUCUUCUGGAGUCAGUAUUUGUAUUCCUACAUUGUGUGAUAUUGUUGCCAUUGCAUUAUUAAAGCCACUUGUUAUUGUUAAA